CUGAAAGCGCAGAGUCUCACAAUCCAGUGGCCCGCGAGGAAAUCGCCGCCCUUCCCCUUCCCGGGAGUCCUGGGUUGGAAUGGGGGCAGCUCUGGACGCUGGGGGAGCGCCUGGCGCUCACCUUCCCUUCCCACCCCCGCCCGACUGCGCUGCGAAGCUGGGCUUUGCUCCUGGCAGCCGCCGCCCGCCUGCGCAGCGACCCUCUCCGUAGCGGGCGCGGGGUCGCGCACCGCCUUCCUCCGGCAAACUUUGUGCAUUUCCGUCUCUCCCUUUUGUGUAAGUUGCAAGUGAUGAGAGGCAUCGGAGAGCUGCGGCCACUCGGCCCCGUCCUUCAGGCUGGACGUCCCGGGCUCUCGGUUGUACCUGCAGUUUUCUCCCAGGGACUGGAGAAGGUCCCCGGGAACAAAAGCCGCGACACCCCGCCCUCGCCGUCCAGGGCGCGGUGGCGGAGUGUGGUAGUUUGUGCGCCACCGCGGCUUCCCUUCCCCGAGCUGCGCGUCUGUUCCCGAGGGCCUGGGGGGGGGGGUGCUGUUUGGAGCCCCGAGAUCUCCCACCCCCGCAUCACCACCGCCUAGUGCCAAUCCUGUGCGAGGCUGCAAAGUCCUCGCCGAGAGAGCGAGAAAGAGAGCCCAGAGUGAGGCGUGCGUCUGGAAAGGGCAGUGCCUGGUGGUGGGGAGGCUGGGGCUCUUGUGCAUCAAAGGAGGCUGAUUGUCUGAUUAAGAGGCAUUUAACAAACUGUGAUGGUCGCACACUCUGUUUUCCCUGCUUGUUCAUUUCCACUCGCCUGAGUCACCAGUUCCUGCUUGUCAGUGGGAAGCCAUGAUAACUGGCAGGCUGUAAAUGCUUCUCCUUUGUCACCCCAAGCGAUAGCAUCCCUUGUGACAACUUGCAGGACCUUAGGACUGCAGAACCAUUAAAGGAUGGAACCGAAGAAAUGAAAAGGUGUGUAUACAAGAUCACGACACUAAAUUAGCAAAGAUGGAUUUAAAAUAAACGGGGGAAAGUGGGAUCAGUUGGCUGCUGGUUUGAAAGAAGUGGAGUUAAAUUUAUGGUUAAGGUUCUCUCUUAAUGUUACAGGGUCUCUGAUUUAAGUUUACUGUUUAUGGCAAAUCAGUUCUCUACAUUCGUUUGAUAAUGAAGAUUAUCAGUCAUCCUUCAUACAGAAAUGAAACAAAAAGGGCUUUAUAAAAUAAUGUAUCCUGCUUCUGCAAAAACUGCUGUUUUAAGAUUUCCAAGGCAUUUUUCAUUAAUAAAUUUCCUUUAUAAUCUUUGUCUUUUAUGCCAGUCUAUGCAAGAUGGACCUGCACAAAUAUACUUUAUACUUAAACAUCAGCAUGUGAUGUUUAUUUGACUGUAUAUACUUUAUUACCCACCCCCCCCCACUGGGUACAGAUGUAUGUAUGCACAUAAUUAUGAAAUAGGAAUGCUGUGUACAAAAAAAAAGAAAGUACAGAUUAAGCAAAAAAAAAAAAGUGCAUAGUAAGUGGAGUACUGAGAAAGCGUUACAGGAGAAAUACUUAUAGCUGAAAAGAUUAAAGGGGCAAUAGGAUUAGCUAGUCCUGGAGCAUUUCCUGGUUGUAAGUUUCCGGCCAGGUUUUUGUCCCAGGCCCGGGGAAUGAAGGUUAAGUAUUCGCAUGGCUGUAUUUGUUCACACACAAACACCAGAGUGUACAUGCAGGGCUUUUGUCUUAUCUGUGUUCUUUGAGCUUGCUUUAGAGCCAGGCACAGAUAAGGUUUUUACGUAAUGAGAGGAAGAACAAGUGUGGAAUUCAGUUUGAUUCAUAGCCUCUUCUUUUCAUUAGGGAAAAUUUUAUUGAUUUUUUUUUUUUUUUUUAGAAUAAGUCCUGUCUCAGCUCUGAUCAUCUUUACACACACCCAAACUGUCUCUUCCUUCACGGAGCUUCCAUUCAUCCAGGGGAGACAGAAGAUAAACAAACUGUGACAGGGUAGGCUGGACUCUGGAGCUGGGUGGAGAGUUAGAAACAAGGAGGUCAGGGCUAAAGGCAGACCGGGAUGUAUCCUCAGCACCAGUAAAUUAGGCGAAUAAAUGAUAAAAGGACCUUCACUCUGUAGCCGUGAGGAGGGAAGGGCAAAUCAACUAUUUAAAGAGUUUCUAUAGGUGACAUGGUUUUGUUAAUCAUGAUGAGUUCCCAACCUUGUUUUGCACAGCAGAAUCAUGGAGGGGUUUUUCUCUCUGUGUGUGUGUGUUUCUUUCUGUGUUUGUGUAUGUGGUGUUGGGAUCAAAUAUGGAGACUGAAGCCUGAUGGGCAGCUGCUCUACCACUGAACUACAUCCCAUCCCAAGACCUCACGGAGAUUAAAACAAAGGAAUAAACAAAAGCUCGAGAGAGUGUUGUCAGGGUUCCUCCACCCGGUGCACCAAAAAGAAAUCCCUGGGAGCAAGGCCUGGCAUGAAGAAGAAGAAGAAGAAGAAGAG